UUUCUGGUUUUGCUGCUGGGAUCAUCCCAAGGCCAAGUAUUCCAGCCUCGUGAGGUCAAUGUGAUGGAAGAAGAAGAGAUUAUUAUUAGUUGUCAUCAGAAUGUUACAAGCAUGGAUACAAUGUUUUGGUACAAAAUGCUCCGGGAUGGUGGGAUAGAGUUCCUUGCACUUGGGUAUGAUGAAACUAAGAAUGCUGGAUCAUUUAUGGUAACAUUCAAUCUGAAUGAGAGAACCACAGAGUUGAAGAAGACACAAGCGGAGCCUGAAGAUGCUGCCACAUAUUACUGUGCAGUGAGAGACACAGUGUUAUUAGAUGGUGUAACAGCUAAACACAAACUAGGUACAUUCAAACCUUACAGACAGACUGCACGAAGAAAGGAAACAUCUGUCCCUGAACAAAUUACUUUCACAAUAGUCAAGAAUUUACAUUUGUUUCAUGAUUUAAAGUUCUAG